UGCGACUACGCCAUCCGCUUCCGCACCCUGGCAACGGAGAGCGGAUGGAACUCCACAGCCCUCUAUGAUGCUUUCUUGGAUGGACUGUCUGUUCCCAUACGGAAGCUACUGGUGCCCUUGGACCUGCCUGCGGACCUGGAUUCCCUCAUCGCCCUAGUCAUCCGGACAGAUAACCGGAUCCAAGAACUCCAGCGGCAUCAGAAGGGCCAACCAUCGUUGGAGAGGUACCGACAACCGCUGGUUCGGGGUGGGCAUGAAGCCCGGGGCCCGACUCCCGAACGUCCUUCUCCCUUACCCAGGGCAGGAGAGGCUGAACCCAUGCAGUUGGGUCGGACCCAGCUCACCCAGGCGGAACGAUAACGUCGUCUCAAGGAGGGGCGUUGCUUCUACUGCGGAGAAUCUGGACAUCGUGUGGUCGCCUGCCCAGUCAAGGCAGCUCGGGGAGUGAGCAAGUUCUCAACCUCAGGUUCUCCUUCACGCAGUUUGACCGCCAUAAAGAUGGUUCCUCCAUAUGAGCUGGUUCUGCUCCAGGUUUCUUCCUGUUAAAGCCUUGCCGGUGUAUCCGGGGCGACACUCGCAUCUGUCUGCUCCGAGACAGUGUCCAUGUCUACAGCCCUGGGGACAGACAGCUGAGGGACAGAGGG